rnacentral:lncRNA from 1 species
CUCAGGUGAUCUGCCCGCCUAUGGUCUCCCAAAGUGCUGGGAUUACAGAUGUGAGCCACUGCGCCCGGCCUAAAGAGAUUUCUUGAAGCAAUUGAGCUUAUAGUUUGGGUUGGAGUGAAGAGGAGAGUCCCAGAGGAAAUUACUACAAGGGAAUUAGCAUGUGUGGAGUGAAGCAGUGAUUCCCAAACCAGAGAAUCUGAGUCAGGUGUUGAAACUGUUGAGUGGAAA